rnacentral:rRNA from 1 species
UACGGGGGGGGCAAGCGUUGUUCGGAAUUACUGGGCGUAAAGGGCUCGUAGGCGGCCAACUAAGUCAGACGUGAAAUCCCUCGGCUUAACCGGGGAACUGCGUCUGAUACUGGAUGGCUUGAGUUUGGGAGAGGGAUGCGGAAUUCCAGGUGUAGCGGUGAAAUGCGUAGAUAUCAGGAGGAAUACCGAUGGCGAAGGCAGGUCUCUGGGCUGACACUGACGCUCAUGCACGAAAGCGUGGGGAGCAAACAGG